UAAUUUUACCAGGGGUGCCCUAUCUGCCAGUAGGCGGAAUAAGUUCGGGCUGAGAUUAUACCCUUUGAACCUGAUCCGGGUAAUGCCGGCGCAAGGGAAAGGAGGUGAAACGUUAA
rnacentral:ncRNA from 3 species